AUGUCCUGCCAGAGAAGAAGAGUUCAGACGUUGAUUUUGCAAUUCCAGGAGGCCCUCACUCGAGAGGGAGGUGGAGGUGGUCAGCGAAUAAGAAGUCCAUCUCAGUCCUGGCUGUCGCGGUUGAGUCCAGUGACACUGGGUUCUUCUUUCGGGGAAAAGGCUUCCAGUGCAAGGCUGCCUUCAGCGAGCGAGGGGCAAAGAGCCAGACGCGCCCCUGCUAAGGGGUCGGGAGAGGAGGCUGCCUUCUCCAGGCGGCUGGAGGAGGGUCCGGCCCCAGCCCCGAGCCCGGCCACGCUGCCCAGCCUGGCUGAGAGUUGCUCCGGGUACCACACUGCACGCGGUGCACCAUCAGCCAGGACGAGCCACAAGACAGCCUGAUGGUGGCUGUCUUUUAAGGUCGUCGGCGGGGAGAGGACGGACCGGAGGCGGCGUGCUCAGGGGGAGGUGGAGAGACGCGCCGGGUUCGCGGGGAUAUAAAGGCUCCCGGAGCCGGGAAGCGGGGGGACCCCGGUGCGGAGGGGGGAGGCGACAGCAGAGUUGGGGAAAAGUAUGGGGAAAGUGGGGACGGGGUUCAGCGGAGACGGGAGGGCGAGAGAAAAGUGAGCUCGGCGCAGAAGGGGUGCAAAGGCGAGGGGGACCCCGGGGAGGGGCGCGCGGCGG
rnacentral:lncRNA from 1 species